rnacentral:tRNA from 1 species
AGUAUUGUGCCAGAGUUGUAUGGGCUUUGUUGAUGUCAAAGAAUACGAGAAAUUUUCUCCAAUACUU